rnacentral:lncRNA from 13 species
AAUAACUCACCCAAGGUUGAUAUCCAAUAAAAUCUUAACUUUAAAAACCGAGUUCUGUCUGUCUCUGAAAUACGUAAGUUUUCCACUACUCCGUACUCACCAAGCUGAGUUCUCCGUACUCACACUGCUGAGGGAUUUUCCAUAUUUCAGAAGAGAGACUCAAAGUUGUUAUUUCCUGUCAACUGGAUAAAAGCCAUUUUAACUAAGG